rnacentral:lncRNA from 1 species
UAUUCCAAGCAGCUGGGAUACCUGUGUCACUCCUGCUGUCUGCCAGUGACUGCCCAGGUGUCCGCUGGUUCCUCCCCAGGAGUAGGGAGGAACCAGGUGGGCUGGCUGGGAUGGGUGGAUAUUUAAAGACCAGGCCUUGGACGCUGCAGCACUUGUAUCUCUGCUUGAGGCCUGCUGCCAUGUGGCUGGUCCUCCUCCUCCUGCCGUGACUGAGCCCCGGGAUGAAGACAGGCUGGAGUGCAGUGGCAUGAUCUCAGCUCACUGCGACCUCUGUCUCCUGGGAUCAAGAGAUUCUCGUGCCUCAGCCUCCCGAGUAGCUGGGACUACAGGCAGCUGCUCCCAACCCCAGCAACUUUGCUAUCUUAGAACGGAUCACCAGUGAAAGAGGGGAAGUUGCUACUGUGAUGAAUUCUGCCAUGUGGUACCAGACUGCUGCCCAGACCACAGUGUCCUCUGCAACCCUGGUAACUCACAUACAGGCCUGAUUCCACCUACAGCAAAGCUGGAUGCUAUGGUUGGCAGAGGCAAGCCCCUUGCCUGCACUUCAGGCCAAAGCCGGGAUGUGGCCUAGAUGGUUCCUAAGGUCCCUGACAGUCCUGAGAUCUUUCAUCUUGUCUAUUUCAGGUCAAAGCUUCUCAGAUGACCAAGAUGGUGCUGCCGAUGGUGUUGAGGACGGAGAACCCACCAAGCCC